rnacentral:rRNA from 1 species
CCUACGGGUGGCAGCAGUGGGGAAUAUUGCACAAUGGGGGAAACCCUGAUGCAGCGACGCCGCGUGAAGGAUGAAGUAUUUCGGUAUGUAAACUUCUAUCAGCAGGGAAGAAAAUGACGGUACCUGACUAAGAAGCCCCGGCUAACUACGUGCCAGCAGCCGCGGUAAUACGUAGGGGGCAAGCGUUAUCCGGAUUUACGGGGUGGAAAGGGAGCGUAGACGGGAUGGCAAGUCUGCUGUGAAAACCCGGGGCUCAACCCCGGGACUGCAUUGGAAACUGCCGACCGAGAGUGUGGGAGAGGCAAGUGGAAUUCCGAGUGUAGCGGUGAAAUGCGUAGAUAUUAGGAGGAACACCGGUGGCGAAGGCGGCUUGCUGGACGAUGACUGACGUUGAGGCUCGAAAGCGUGGGGAGCAAACAGGAUUAGAUACCCUAGUAGUC